UGCCAUAUAAACUCAGUAUCUGGCAUCAUUGGUUUUCUUGGGUUUAUGCAUGUUCAACCUGGUAUAUUUAUUGAGACAUUA
rnacentral:snoRNA from 1 species